CAGGCUUAACACAUGCAAGUCGAGGGGCAGCAUGGUCUUAGCUUGCUAAGGCCGAUGGCGACCGGCGCACGGGUGAGUAACACGUAUCCAACCUGCCGUCUACUCUUGGACAGCCUUCUGAAAGGAAGAUUAAUACAAGAUGGCAUCAUGAGUCCGCAUGUUCACAUGAUUAAAGGUAUUCCGGUAGACGAUGGGGAUGCGUUCCAUUAGAUAGUAGGCGGGGUAACGGCCCACCUAGUCUUCGAUGGAUAGGGGUUCUGAGAGGAAGGUCCCCCACAUUGGAACUGAGACACGGUCCAAACUCCUACGGGAGGCAGCAGUGAGGAAUAUUGGUCAAUGGGCGAGAGCCUGAACCAGCCAAGUAGCGUGAAGGAUGACUGCCCUAUGGGUUGUAAACUUCUUUUAUAAAGGAAUAAAGUCGGGUAUGGAUACCCGUUUGCAUGUACUUUAUGAAUAAGGAUCGGCUAACUCCGUGCCAGCAGCCGCGGUAAUACGGAGGAUCCGAGCGUUAUCCGGAUUUAUUGGGUUUAAAGGGAGCGUAGAUGGAUGUUUAAGUCAGUUGUGAAAGUUUGCGGCUCAACCGUAAAAUUGCAGUUGAUACUGGAUAUCUUGAGUGCAGUUGAGGCAGGCGGAAUUCGUGGUGUAGCGGUGAAAUGCUUAGAUAUCACGAAGAACUCCGAUUGCGAAGGCAGCCUGCUAAGCUGCAACUGACAUUGAGGCUCGAAAGUGUGGGUAUCAAACAGGAUUAGAUACCCUGGUAGUCCACACGGUAAACGAUGAAUACUCGCUGUUUGCGAUAUACGGCAAGCGGCCAAGCGAAAGCGUUAAGUAUUCCACCUGGGGAGUACGCCGGCAACGGUGAAACUCAAAGGAAUUGACGGGGGCCCGCACAAGCGGAGGAACAUGUGGUUUAAUUCGAUGAUACGCGAGGAACCUUACCCGGGCUUAAAUUGCAGAUGAAUUACGGUGAAAGCCGUAAGCCGCAAGGCAUCUGUGAAGGUGCUGCAUGGUUGUCGUCAGCUCGUGCCGUGAGGUGUCGGCUUAAGUGCCAUAACGAGCGCAACCCUUGUUGUCAGUUACUAACAGGUUCCGCUGAGGACUCUGACAAGACUGCCAUCGUAAGAUGUGAGGAAGGUGGGGAUGACGUCAAAUCAGCACGGCCCUUACGUCCGGGGCUACACACGUGUUACAAUGGGGGGUACAGAGGGCCGCUACCACGCGAGUGGAUGCCAAUCCCCAAAACCUCUCUCAGUUCGGACUGGAGUCUGCAACCCGACUCCACGAAGCUGGAUUCGCUAGUAAUCGCGCAUCAGCCACGGCGCGGUGAAUACGUUCCCGGGCCUUGUACACACCGCCCGUCAAGCCAUGGGAGCCGGGGGUACCUGAAGUGCAUAACCGCGAGGAGCGCCCUAGGGUAAAACUGGUGACUGGGGCUAAGUCGU
rnacentral:rRNA from 1 species